rnacentral:sRNA from 1 species
AGCAGCCGCGGUAAUUCCAGCUCCAAUAGCGUAUAUUAAAGUUGUUGCAGUUAAAAAGCUCGUAGUUGAAUUUCGGGAUUGACACAUCGGUCGUGCCUUAAGGGGUAUGAACUGGUGUAGUCAAUUUCUCACCUUCUGGAGAACCGCGAUGCCCUUAAUUGGGUGUCGCGGGGAACCAGGACCUUUACUUUGAAAAAUUAGAGUGUUUAAAGCAGGCAUUUUGCUUGAAUACAUUAGCAUGGAAUAAUAAAAUAGGACGGCAUGAUUCUAUUUUGUUGGUUUCUAGGAUCACCGUAAUGAUUAAUAGGGAUAGUUGGGGGCAUUAGUAUUCAAUUGUCAGAGGUGAAAUUCUUGGAUUUAUUGAAGACUAACUACUGCGAAAGCAUUUGCCAAGGAUGUUUUCAUUAAUCAAGAACGAAAGUUAGGGGAUCGAAGACGAUCAGAUACCGUCGUAGUCUUAACCAUAAACUAUGCCGACUAGGAAUCAGACGAUGUUAAUUUUUAAUGUACUCGUUUGGCA